ACAGCCAAAACCACGGGCUUUACAAUAAAACUGGGAAAUGCAAAUCCUGUGAGCUGAGCCUGUUUUUUCUUCUAAGCGGGAAAGAAGCUGAACCUAUUGCACUCCUUGGUUUAAAAAAAAAAAAAAAAGGAAAACAGUCAAAACGUCCAAGAUGUAAACUUCAGGUCUCCAGCUGGACCACGAGAUCCCUGCCGCCUGGGACAGAGGACAGGACGCCUGGGACAGAAGGACAGGACUGCCCUGCUCACAGAAGGCAGACAAGCAUCUGAUAAGGUUUGAGCGAUGAAUCUGUGCAAGGGUCUUCCAAAUGGGUCCCUCUCCUCCAGCCUGCUUCAGGAGCAACCCAGGAGGUGGCCAGGCCAGGAUCUGUCCCCUCAGGGCCCACACACACCUCCCCACUGGACAGAGGAGACACAGUGUUCAGGGUCCACAAAAAAAAGCUUUGAUUUCUUUAAAACCAGAAUAAAGUACUAAACUUUCAGGUC